rnacentral:rRNA from 1 species
GGGCCCGCACAAGCGGCGGAGCAUGCGGCUUAAUUCGAUGCAACGCGAAGAACCUUACCUAGGCUUGACAGUUGGGGAAAUCUGGCAGAGAUGCCAGGUCCGUAAGGGCCCCAAAACAGGUGGUGCAUGGCUGUCGUCAGCUCGUGUCGUGAGAUGUUGGGUUAAGUCCCGCAACGAGCGCAACCCUCGUCGUAUGUUGCCAGCGGAUAAUGCCGGGGACUCAUACGAGACUGCCGGGGUCAACUCGGAGGAAGGUGGGGACGACGUCAAGUCAUCAUGCCCCUUAUGUCUAGGGCUGCACGCAUGCUACAAUGGCCGGUACAGAGGGCUGCGAAACCGCAAGGUAGAGCG